CAAGGCUUGACAUGAACCGGAUCGCCGCAGAAAUGUGGUUUCCCCUUUGGGGCUGGUUUACAGGUGGUGCAUGGUUGUCGUCAGCUCGUGUCGUGAGAUGUUGGGUUAAGUCCCGCAACGAGCGCAACCCUCGUUCUAUGUUGCCAGCACGUGAUGGUGGGGACUCAUAGGAGACUGCCGGGGUCAACUCGGAGGAAGGUGGGGACGACGUCAAAUCAUCAUGCCCCUUAUGUCUUGGGCUUCACGCAUGCUACAAUGGCCGGUACAAAGGGUUGCGAUACUGUGAGGUGGAGCUAAUCCCAAAAAGCCGGUCUCAGUUCGGAUUGGGGUCUGCAACUCGACCCCAUGAAGUCGGAGUCGCUAGUAAUCGCAGAUCAGCAACGCUGCGGUGAAUACGUUCCC
rnacentral:rRNA from 1 species